GAUGAACGCUGGCGGCGUGCCUAAUACAUGCAAGUCGAGCGAACAGACGAGGAGCUUGCUCCUCUGACGUUAGCGGCGGACGGGUGAGUAACACGUGGAUAACCUACCUAUAAGACUGGGAUAACUUCGGGAAACCGGAGCUAAUACUGGAUAAUAUAUUGAACCGCAUGGUUCAAUAGUGAAAGACGGUUUUGCUGUCACUUAUAGAUGGAUCCGCGCCGCAUUAGCUAGUUGGUAAGGUAACGGCUUACCAAGGCAACGAUGCGUAGCCGACCUGAGAGGGUGAUCGGCCACACUAGAACUAAGACACGGUCCAGACUCCUACGGGAGGCAGCAGUAGGGAAUCUUCCGCAAUGGGCGAAAGCCUGACGGAGCAACGCCGCGUGGGUGAUGAAGGUCUUCGGAUCGUAAAACUCUUUUAUUGGGGAAGAACAAAUGUGGAAGUAACUAUGCACGUCUUGACGGUACCUAAACAAAAAGCCACGGCUAACUACGUG
rnacentral:rRNA from 1 species